UGGUCAAGUUAUUAAGGGUGCAGGGCGGAUGCCUUGGCACUAGGAGCCGAUGAAGGACGUGAUAAGCUGCGAUAAGCUUCGGGGAGUUGCACGUAAACUUUGAUCCGAAGAUUUCCGAAUGAGGAAACUCACUUAGAGUAAUGUCUAAGUAUCAUUAAGUGAAUACAUAGCUUAAUGAGGGGAACUCAGGGAACUGAAACAUCUAAGUACCUGAAGGAAGAGAAAGAAAUUCGAUUCCGUAAGUAGCGGCGAGCGAACGCGGAUUAGCCCAAACCAAUAAAGUUUUCUUUAUUGGGGUUGCGGACAUAUCAUAACGAAGAGGUAUCGUAAUUGAAGAGGUUUGGAAAGACCCACCACAGAAGGUAAUAGUCCUGUAUGUUAAACGAGAAGACUUUAGAUAUGAUCCAGAGUACCACGGGACACGUGAAACCCUGUGGGAAGCAGGAGGGACCACCCUCCAAGGCUAAAUACUACCUAGUGACCGAUAGCGUAUAGUACCGUGAGGGAAAGGUGAAAAGAACCCCGGGAGGGGAGUGAAAUAGAACCUGAAACCCUGCACUUACAAGCUGUGGAAGCACAUUUCUUGUGUGACCGCGUACUUUUUGUAGAACGGGCCAACGAGUUACGUUAAGUAGCAAGGUUAAGCACUUAAGGUGCGGAGCCGUAGCGAAAGCGAGUUUUAACUGAGCGUUCAGUUACUUGACGUAGACCCGAAACCGGGCGACCUACCCAUGAGCAGGAUGAAGCGAAAGUAAAAUUUCGUGGAGGUCCGAACCCACGAGCGUUG
rnacentral:rRNA from 1 species